rnacentral:rRNA from 1 species
GACGAACGCUGGCGGCGUGCCUAAUACAUGCAAGUAGAACGCACAGUUUAUACCGUAGCUUGCUACACCAUAGACUGUGAGUUGCGAACGAGUGAGUAACGCGUAGGUAACCUGCCUGGUAGCGGGGGAUAACUAUUGGAAACGAUAGCUAAUACCGCAUAAUAUUAAUUAUUGCAUGAUAAUUAAUUGAAAGGUGCAAUUGCACCACUACCAGAUGGACCUGCGUUGUAUUAGCUAGUAGGUGAGGUAACGGCUCACCUAGGCGACGAUACAUAGCCGACCUGAGAGGGUGAUCGGCCACACUGGGACGGAGACACGGCCCAGACUCCUACGGGAGGCAGCAGUAGGGAAUCUUCGGCAAUGGACGAAAGUCUGACCGAGCAACGCCGCGUGAGUGAAGAAGGUUUUCGGAUCGUAAAGCUCGGUUGUAAGAGAAGAAAGGGUGUGAGAGUGGAAAGUUCACACUGUGACGGUAUCUUACCAGAAAGGGACGGCUAACUACGUG